rnacentral:lncRNA from 1 species
UACUAUUAACUCAUCAUAGACUCAAUCUAUACGAGUAGCUUUCAAUUAUUAACUAUCGAUCAAGACUGCCGAACUUACCUUAGACACCAAUCUGUUUAUCUAUUUCAAUUUAGUUUGCCUAAAGACUCAGACUCAACCACUAAGCCAGAUCGAGAUCCAUUUUGAUCUAAUCAAAGAUAUGGACUUUGACCAACUAUAACUAUUGAGCAUUGAUCAAGAGAAUAAUUGACUCAAUCAGAAUUAACAG